AUACGAGGGGUGCAAGCGUUAAUCGGAAUUACUGGGCGUAAAGCGUACGCAGGCGGUUUGUUAAGCGAGAUGUGAAAGCCCCGGGCUCAACCUGGGAACUGCAUUUCGAACUGGCAGACUAGAGUAUGAUAGAGGGUGGUAGAAUUUCAGGUGUAGCGGUGAAAUGCGUAGAGAUCUGAAGGAAUACCGAUGGCGAAGGCAGCCACCUGGGUCAAUACUGACGCUCAUGUACGAAAGCGUGGGGAGCAAACGGAAUUAGAAACCCGAGUAGUCC
rnacentral:rRNA from 1 species